rnacentral:lncRNA from 1 species
GACUUCUUUUUGCCCACCAGAAUCUCAGGGCCUCACUUAGCUUAGACAUAAGUUCAGAAUGUGUGAGAGAAGAUGUGGGGGGCAGAGUAGGUGUGAUUAGCUUUUGGCUUACUCCUAUGCCCCCUGCUAGCUCCACUCCCCUCUCCCCUCAGUUCCCCAGAUGGUCUCUGCUUACUUUUGGGGUCUUUUUUGAAGGUUGUUUCACUGUCUCUCUUUGUUGAUCCUUUCACUCUUGUAUUCAUUUCAUUGUGAUAUUUUAAUCUUGGUCAGAAAGGAUUUUCAUAUUGAAAUGGCAAGCUGCUGCCUUAAUUACUCCUCCAUCUUGGCUCCACUUUCAUGAAUCUAGAAAAUCAUUUUGAGAAAUCAACAUUAGACACAAAAAUUAUCUACCUUUUGGGUUUUUUUUGAAGGUUGUUUCCCUCUGUCUCUUUGUUGGUUCUUUCAAUCUUGUAUUCGUUUUGUGGUGAUCUCGUUUGGAGAAGAUUUUCAUGGUGAGAUGGAAUGAACUGCAAGAAGAAAUUAUAGGUUCUUCUUCCUUGGACAUACUUAAGCAGAAGAUGAAUGACUUAUAGAUUCAUAGAUAUUUGUAUUUCCCAGACCUCAUCAAGAAGAGAAGAAAGAGGAAAUUUUGGAGAUCUACAUUCUCUGCAACAAAUAGAGAAAACACACCCAGAGGUUUUCCUUCUGGAGGCUGCUGGAGUUUAGGAGAGGAGUGAUCUCUUCCCAAUAGGCAAAUCUGAUGGACGUAACAGAAAAUACACAGUAUUUCUUGAGAAGCCUGUGGUCCAAUUCUUGAUGCCAUGGAUUCUGUGGGAAGGUUCUUGAGGAUGUGUGCUCAAUGAUGGGACUCGAAGAUUGGAGGCUUUUAGAAUAUUGCACUGCGUAUUGGCAUAGUAUGGGUAAAAACCUUUUGGUAUAUUAAAUAGGCACAGUGGUUGACAAAGGAAGGGUGUGUAUCCUAAUUAAGAAGAAGCACAAAUCCUUGGAUAUUAAGAUAUUAGGAAAAACUGCUCCAUUCUAAUCAUUGCUCUGUAUACUGUCUAAUCUAUUCUUAUCACUACUUGCUCAUGAAUUCUAUGGCCAUAGCAAUACAUGAAGUAAAGGCA